GUCAUCGGACAAGAAUUGAGCCGUAAUAUAGCAUUUUCUGUAUUUCGACCCGUAUAACUCUAAACUCUUCUUUUAUUUUAACCAGUUACGCGUAUUGGUUCGCCUUGUAGACAAGUGAUAUUUAUUCACUCUGGCCAACCGUAUCUUGUAUGCUAACGUUAGCUUUCUGGUUCAAAGUGAACAUUGGGGCUUUUUAGCUAGCUACUCGCUGUUAUUAAUUAUGUAAAAAGACAAUCAAUAAUAUCAAUUGUUUAAGCACAUGGAAAUAUUUUUUUGUGAAUUAUUGCGUUAUUUAUUUCAUGAUUUAAAAGUGGCGGGUUAUGAGUGACGGACUGUGAAACUCAAUCUCCCAUGAUUCCGUAGUACCGGAACUGACCGUUUCAUCAUUUGUACCGGAACUGAUAGUGUUGUGUUCGUUCUUAUUACACCUCAGUGGUUGUGUUGAAUACUUCACCCAACUUAAAAUAAGAAAUUACUCUGCAUAUAAGACAUACCAUAUAAUAAACAGAAUUAACUAUUUUAAUUAGAUCUUUGAUGGUGUACUGUAGCUAGUUUAUUUAUGGCCUGUAUGUGUCCCAAAUAACUGAUUCCAUAGUUAUACUGGUGUCUGCACAUUUAAAACUGUAAACUAAGUCUCUUUUUGCUGCCUGUAUAUCAAUUGUGCAAAUGUGAAUAUACAAAUAUAGUUCAUAAAUAAUAAUACCAGGAUUGCUCACACCUAAAAUUUGAGUGAAUUAAAGCAGAUCAAUAACAAAAACAUUUUAGUGUUAACUGUGGAGGCUUUGCCUUUUGCUUUUGCACAAUAUAAUGCAAUCCCACAAUAAGAAAAUGCACAUUUCCCCACAAUAAUGAAACCUUUUCCUUGUUGACUUAUUGAACCAAUAAGGGUUAAAACAAAAAUGUGUUUAAGAAACCCUGCCCUAAAGAAACUCCAAGGGAGAUUCCAAGAGCGAGAUCUCCCUUGGGGUAUUUCUUAACAGACUUAUCAAGGCUAGGAUCGUUACACUAGUCCCUCGGUUCAGAAAACACAACCCGUGCUUCUCUAUAGCAAAUUCUUCAAGCUUUAACAGGACAUGCUUUUGACCCUCAUGCACUAUCCUACUCUGCGCAUCAGAUUAGCAAAUGGUAGGAGGGGCUAUUGACAUGAGGUAGGCGUAAAACCAGGUCGCUUGACCCUGAGGAAAUCACACUACACACAACAACCCCAAAAGAGUAAGGGCCUCAUCAAGGCUAGCGUCGUUCAACUUGUCAGGCAGCAGUUAGGACAUUUCUAACUACUACUAAAUGCUGUUGCAAAAUACUAACAAUUUUUUUGCUGGCUCACUGGCUUUUAUUUCAAUGUGGUAUUAAAUACAAAGCAGUGAUAUAAAAUGUUCAAAUGCUCAGACCGAUUGACUGUAACCUAAGCCUCUGUCUUGCAGGCAUGAACUCUUAGGUAUGUAUUAAAAAUAAAAAUAAAAUAUUAUAUUACUACCAAAAUAAGAGGAACCACAGCUAAUGUACAUUAAAACCACAUUGUGAUACACUUGUAAUUGAAUGACAUAUGUAUCUAAUAUAAUGACCUACAGUUCAUAUCAAAAUUUGAUGACAUAUAUCUGUCAUAGUGGAUUCGUAUCUCUUCACCCAUAAAACACCGUUAUACUAAUGCCUUUAAGUUACAUUAUAUAAAUAACACAAUUUUUAUUUAAUAGUUUUCAGUAUCAGUACCCAUCCUCCUGCAGUAUCCAUGCUCUUGCACCUAUCCCCACAAGAUACAGGUACAGUAUGCUAGAAUGCCAAACAUAUGCCAUGCCAAACUUUUAAAAAGUUCAUACAGCCAAGUUAUUCUUUUCAUCAAUUCUGUCAUUACAUUUUGGGCAGAGAGGCAGACCCUGUGCGCACAAACGUGAUGGGAAAAGAGAGAGACAAUGGUUGACAGCAUGCUCUCUGCUGAAGGUACUUUAUUGGGCCAGUGUCAGUUUGAAGGGUUUUAUUGCCCCUUGUCCCCAACCAACAUUAAUUCAUCAGGAUGAUGAGGGGUCCCUUACCUUCCAGGAGCAAGUUUGUCUUUUGCCCAUAGCUAUGCCACAGCAGUGUGUUUUCCCCCACUUCCCAGCGCCCUGACAGUGACAAGUUGCAAGCAGUCAUCCUGAUUGGAAUAAAUGAUAGGCGCUACAAACUGUCCCUUCCUGAUAUGAACUGCUCCGGGUGUCUGAGACGUUGGAGAGUGGGGCUGGACGAACUUGUAAAGAGUGGCUACUUGCCAGCCACCGUGACUCACCAGACCAUCUUCACAGUAGACCUCUUCAAGUCCUUUGAAGGUGUUGGUCCCACAUGCCUUUGUGGGAAUGCUUGACGGAAGAACAAAGCACUUUGGCAGGAGUGGAAAGAUAUGUGGCGGCACAUUCCAGAAGGCAUUCCUCGAGUGGACGUAGGGCGUUUGGAAAUAACCAAGCUUUGUGGAAGCGACCUCCUCCAUUGUCCUGCCUGCUCACAGGAGAUGCAUGCUAUAUCAGUGGGUGGGAAUUGUAAGCAAUACCGCUUCCAGAACACCUCAGGGUUUGUACUACCUACUUAUGUGUUGAUGUUUUGUUCAGGGUAUAAUUAUGCCUUCUUAAAGUGCAUGCUGGUCGUCUUUUUAGUAUGAAGUAUAUGUUUGGGAUGUUAUAUUGCAGUUGGUCUUCUUUUUAGAAGAAGAUUAAUUGUCAAGUAGAAGGUCAUUUUCCAUGAAGAAAAAUUGUGGAACGGUGACGUUUUGUUCUUUAUCCCAACUCCUCACACACGCACGCACACACACACACACACACACACACACACACACACACACACACACACACACACACACACACACACACACACACACACGCACACACACACACACACACACACACACACACACACACACACAGAGGUUGGAGCAACACUGUCGGAUGUCUGGGAUUUGAACCAGCAACCCCUCUCUAACUUCUAGGCUACCUGCCACCCCUUGGUGGUUUGGUUUGAUGUAUAAUUUUGUGAUGUAAUCUUGCAGCCUGACUCUAUUUGGUGCUGAGAAGGACUUCUACGACGGUGUCUUCCUGGCGAAAGACAUGUCCAUAAAAAGACCACGCAUGUCAUUUUUCUAUUACACAGUUUCUAUAAUAUAGCUUUCAUGUCACCCAGUUUAGAACUUGUUUAUUUUAAGUUAAUCUCUGCACUACACUGUGAUUUCUUAUGUUGUAGAUGCCAGUCAAAGGAGUGUGUGGCACAUCAGAGUGGACAGCGGCCAAAGAGACGUCAGGAAAAUCAUCUGCCAAAGUAGAUGAGGAGGGCCUUGAGAUAGUAGUUUGCCGACACAGCGUUUUCCUCAAGGCCCCCAACAUGUACAGAGGCGAGGUAUAUGCCUACUUAGUGUACUUGCAGAAGGAGUUGUGUUCUGUUGGCACGGUGGGCUUCUUCUGCUGCAAUGUUACAUGCAAAUACUGGCCAUAUUUGCAGAACAUUGUUCAGGCAUGCCCAGACAAUGCACUCUCUCCUCUGCUUUAUGCAUGCGAAGGCGCAUGAAUGGUCUUGUGAGGUAAUUGUUUUCUUUCAGGACUGUUUUUGUGUUAUGCAGAAAGGAUAUUGUAAUGCCUUUUUAAAUAGAAUGAAUACAUUAUUUAAAACAUUUAUUUGUUCAUUAAGGCAUUAUAGCUCAAAUGGGGAGGCCGUAAUUAGUCUCUGGCAACACAUCCAGAGAGGAAGUCGAGCAGGACAUCAACGACGCUGUGCUUCAUGAGUGGGUUGCUGAGGUGCAGCAGUGGAUGUUUCUCUCUCUCAAUUUCAAAAUGUGUCACAUCUGCUCCUGCAACGCCCUCUACUGCUCAUCCUGUGUCUCCUUGACCUACCGCCACUCCCCCAGUACUCUCUCCCUCUCCCCCGCUCUCUCUCUCUCUCUGUGUGUGUGUGAUUGUGUGGGCGGAGACAGGUGUGCUGCAGUCAGAGCAGAUCCCCACCAGCUGCCACCUGUUCCAUAAUCAAGACCUCUACAAAUACUCAGCCCUGCUACUUCCACGCUGCCAGAUCGUAAUCUCUGCUCAGUCAGUCUACGGUUCUAGCCGUUUGUUACUAUUCAGAUCCUGUUAUCCUUGACUGACACUGUUUUCUUCUCCGCUACAGUUCUGCUCGCUCUUACUCUGGUCCCUGUCUCCAGUCCCACGUCUCGUUAUUCUGUCCUGGAUACCCCACUCUACUACUCCUUUGGAUUCCCCUCCGGACCUGCUUACCCUGUCUCAACCCCUCUCGCUCCAGCCUCAGCCUCCGCACCUGGUUUCCAGCAACCCGCCCGAGCUUCCCCUGACCUGCACUCCAUCUUCCCCCUGUGUUUCAAUAAAUACAUUGGUUACUUCAUCCCAGUCUCCUCGUCUGAGUCUGCUG